rnacentral:rRNA from 1 species
UGCAGUCGAACGGUACAGGCCUUCGGGCGCUGACGAGUGGCGGACGGGUGAGUAAUGCUUGGGAACUUGCCUUUUGGAGGGGGAUAACAGUUGGAAACGACUGCUAAUACCGCAUGAUGUCGCAAGACCAAAGGGGGCUUAGGCUCCUGCCAAGAGAGAGGCCCAAGUGAGAUUAGCUAGUUGGUGGGGUAAAGGCUCACCAAGGCGACGAUCUCUAGCUGUUCUGAGAGGAAGAUCAGCCACACUGGGACUGAGACACGGCCCAGACUCCUACGGGAGGCAGCAGUGGGGAAUAUUGCACAAUGGGGGGAACCCUGAUGCAGCCAUGCCGCGUGUGUGAAGAAGGCCUUCGGGUUGUAAAGCACUUUCAGUGGUGAGGAAGGGUGUCUGGUUAAUACCCGGACACAUUGACGUUAGCCACAGAAGAAGCACCGGCUAACUCCGUGCCAGCAGCCGCGGUAAUACGGAGGGUGCGAGCGUUAAUCGGAAUUACUGGGCGUAAAGCGCACGCAGGCGGUUUGUUAAGCUAGAUGUGAAAGCCCCGGGCUCAACCUGGGAUGGUCAUUUAGAACUGGCAAGCUAGAGUCUUGGAGAGGGGGGUGGAAUUCCAGGUGUAGCGGUGAAAUGCGUAGAUAUCUGGAGGAACAUCAGUG